AGAGUUUGAUCCUGGCUCAGAAUCAACGCUGGCGGCGCGCUUAACACAUGCAAGUCGCACGAGAAAAGGGCAACCUUAGUAAAGUGGCGUACGGGUGAGUAACACGUGGAUCAUACACCUUUUAGUGGGGAAUAACUUUGGGAAACCGAAGCUAAUACCGCAUAAGCCCGAGAGGGGAAAGCAGCAAUGCGCUGAUAGAGUAGUCCGCGGCUGAUUAGCUAGUUGGUGAGGUAAUGGCUCACCAAGGCUUUGAUCGGUAGCCGGCCUGAGAGGGCUCACGGCCACACUGGCACUGAAACACGGGCCAGACUCCUACGGGAGGCAGCAGUGGGGAAUCUUGCACAAUGGGGGAAACCCUGAUGCAGCGACGCCGCGUGAGUGAUGAAGCCCUUCGGGGUGUAAAGCUCUUUCGACGGGAACGAUAAUGACGGUACCCGGAGAAGAAGCUGCGGCUAACUACGUGCCAGCAGCCGCGGUAAUACGUAGGCAGCAAGCGUUGUUCGGAAUUACUGGGCGUAAAGCGAGUGUAGGUGGUGCUAUAAGUUUGGUGUGAAAUCUCCCGGCUUAACUGGGAGGGUGCGCCGAAGACUGUAGUGCUAGAGUGUGGGAGAGGUAGGCGGAAUUCCUGGUGUAGCGGUGAAAUGCGUAGAUAUCAGGAGGAACACCUGCGGUGUAGACGGCUUACUGGACCACGACUGACACUGAAACUCGAAAGUGUGGGGAGCAAACAGGAUUAGAUACCCUAGUAGUCC
rnacentral:rRNA from 1 species